GGGGAUUUGGCUCAGUGGUAGAGCGCUUGCCUAGCAAGCACAAGGCCUGGAUUCGAUCCCCAGCUCCA
rnacentral:tRNA from 1 species